GACGAACGCUGGCGGCGUGCUUAACACAUGCAAGUCGAACGGAAAGGCCCUGCUUUUGUGGGGUGCUCGAGUGGCGAACGGGUGAGUAACACGUGAGUAACCUGCCCUUGACUUUGGGAUAACUUCAGGAAACUGGGGCUAAUACCGGAUAGGAGCUCCUGCCGCAUGGUGGGGGUUGGAAAGUUUCGGCGGUUGGGGAUGGACUCGCGGCUUAUCAGCUUGUUGGUGGGGUAGUGGCUUACCAAGGCUUUGACGGGUAGCCGGCCUGAGAGGGUGACCGGCCACAUUGGGACUGAGAUACGGCCCAGACUCCUACGGGAGGCAGCAGCGGGGAAUAUUGCACAAUGGGCGGAAGCCUGAUGCAGCAACGCCGCGUGCGGGAUGACGGCCUUCGGGUUGUAAACCGCUUUCGCCUGUGACGAAGCGUGAGUGACGGUAAUGGGUAAAGAAGCACCGGCUAACUACGUGCCAGCAGCCGCGGUGAUACGUAGGGUGCGAGCGUUGUCCGGAUUUAUUGGGCGUAAAGGGCUCGUAGGUGGUUGAUCGCGUCGGAAGUGUAAUCUUGGGGCUUAACCCUGAGCGUGCUUUCGAUACGGGUUGACUUGAGGAAGGUAGGGGAGAAUGGAAUUCCUGGUGGAGCGGUGGAAUGCGCAGAUAUCAGGAGGAACACCAGUGGCGAAGGCGGUUCUCUGGGCCUUUCCUGACGCUGAGGAGCGAAAGCGUGGGGAGCGAACAGGCUUAGAUACCCUGGUAGUCCACGCUGUAAACGGUGGGUACUAGGUGUGGGGUCCAUUCCACGGGUUCCGUGCCGUAGCUAACGCUUUAAGUACCCCGCCUGGGGAGUACGGCCGCAAGGCUAAAACUCAAAGGAAUUGACGGGGCCCCGCACAAGCGGCGGAGCAUGCGGAUUAAUUCGAUGCAACGCGUAGAACCUUACCUGGGUUUGACAUGGAUCGGGAGUGCUCAGAGAUGGGUGUGCCUCUUUUGGGGUCGGUUCACAGGUGGUGCAUGGCUGUCGUCAGCUCGUGUCGUGAGAUGUUGGGUUAAGUCCCGCAACGAGCGCAACCCUUGUUCACUGUUGCCAGCACGUUAUGGUGGGGACUCAGUGGAGACCGCCGGGGUCAACUCGGAGGAAGGUGGGGAUGACGUCAAGUCAUCAUGCCCCUUAUGUCCAGGGCUUCACGCAUGCUACAAUGGCUGGUACAGAGAGUGGCGAGCCUGUGAGGGUGAGCGAAUCUCGGAAAGCCGGUCUCAGUUCGGAUUGGGGUCUGCAACUCGACCUCAUGAAGUCGGAGUCGCUAGUAAUCGCAGAUCAGCAACGCUGCGGUGAAUACGUUCCCGGGGCU
rnacentral:rRNA from 1 species